AUUGAACGCUGGCGGCAUGCCUUACACAUGCAAGUCGAACGGCAGCACGGGUGCUUGCACCUGGUGGCGAGUGGCGAACGGGUGAGUAAUACAUCGGAACGUACCUUAUCGUGGGGGAUAACGCAGCGAAAGCUGUGCUAAUACCGCAUACGCCCUGAGGGGGAAAGCGGGGGAUCGCAAGACCUCGCGCGAUUAGAGCGGCCGAUGCCUGAUUAGCUAGUUGGUGGGGUAAAAGCCCACCAAGGCGACGAUCAGUAGCUGGUCUGAGAGGCCGAUCAGCCACACUGGGACUGAGUGACGGCCCGGACCCCUACGGGAGGCAGCAGUGGGGAAUUUUGGACAAUGGGUGCAACCCUGAUCCAGCAAUGCCGCGUGAGUGAAGAAGGCCUUCGGGUUGUAAAGCUCUUUUGUCAGGGAAGAAACACCGGCUCUAACACAGUCCGGGAAUGACGGUACCUGAAGAAUAAGCACCGGCUAACUACGUGCCAGCAGCCGCGGUAA
rnacentral:rRNA from 1 species